rnacentral:lncRNA from 1 species
GAUAGGGAGUAUUUUAAGGUAUUUAGGGGAUAGAUCAAGGAGAUUACAAAAUAAUUUAACAAGCUUAGUUACAUACAUUUGUUAAAUAUUUGUAGGUCGUAAGAAAUUGACUAAAUUAUAUUUUGCAUGUUUUUAAAACUUUAAUAAUAAUUGAUUGAUUGUGAUUUUGUCAAUGCCGAUGGUGUUCAAGCAGUGCUCCAGAUGCAAUCCCAAAACAUCUGGAGCAACACCUAAAUACUGCCGGCUUUGACAAAAUCACCAUCAGUCAAUUGCAAAGACAGCUUGAUUUGGAACAGCUGACAUCCUGUGCCCAUACCAUCAAACAAUACAUUCCAGUUCCUAGGAAAGAGUCGAUAGCCAAAUCCAGUCUAAACAUCUGGCUGAUUGUGUGGCUAAUAGUAAUCGUAAUAAUAUGAAAGAGGACAGCAGGUUAGUUCUGAGACAGAGCCAAAGUGAAAUAUCACAUUUGGCAGAAGAAAUUUAUUUAUGAGGCUACAUAAAUUUGAGAGAUCUGAGGGUUUUCCUCCCCUCUAUUUUUGCUCAGUUUUUCUCAUUUUGUGGAAUGAAGUUUUUUAAAAUUUGUUUUAUUUAGUUCUUGCUGUUGUUUGGUUCAUCAUUGCUGUUGAUAUGGACAAUAGGAUAUGUUACAACCUUAAAUUCUGACUCAUGGCUGUUAAAAGGAAGCUUGCUGAUGUUCAUAUUGGUUACCCUGUCUUUCUGUGCAAGGUUGUUCAUAGGAUUCAACACAAUAAAAUAUUUCCCAGUAGCAUUUUUGAUUAGUUCCAUCUUUUGGAUAUCAUGGACCUGUUUCAUCUUUUUCCUGCCUAAUAUCCUUUGUUAAAACAAUAGUACGGAAUAGAUAAUUUAUUGAAAGUGUGUGUGUGUGUGUUCAUUGUUAUGAGGAAAAUCACUGGAAAUAAAUUGUAAUAUUAUACAGUAAGCUGCCAUGAAACAUUUAACAUAUUUGCUAAGAAAAAAAUGAGUUGCUGUAAAAAAAAUUAUUAUUAACGGCCAAUGAUCUGGAUAAACUAAAAAGAAGUAUAUAAAAUGGGAUGUCUGUCUGGCAUUCCCAAUUGGUUGUUAGUAGUGUCUUGAUUAUUCUUUUCCCGUGCUGCCACUGCCACCUUUUCCAUUAAUGUUAUCCUGCCCUACACAUCAAUUCCCCAUCCUAAUCUUUUCCCUUUGCCACUGUGCACUUUUGUUGCAUCUCUUUCCUCUUCUAUAAUAUGUGAUAGUGUACUAUACAUUUUUGGGCUCUUUAUCCAAUUCAGUUUUUAAAAAUCAUGUUUAAUAAUAAAAAUAGAAUAAAAUAAAAAAAAUAAUUGAUUUAAAAUGCAUUUAAUCUGUUAAAUGUUUUGUUAACAGCAUUUUAUUAUUAAUUACAAUCUCUAAAGAUAAUUUUUCUUUUAGUAUGCUUUUUAAUGAGAUCUUUAUAAUAGUUUUUUUAUGAAUUAAUUCAUGAGAAAUAUUUGGGCACAUUCCAACUGCCAAAGGCACAUAAAUCUACUUCGCUCUUGAGAAAGAUAUCUGGUAAUUUUUCAGUCAUGGCUUCUGCUUUAUGACUUUUAAACAUCCUUUCACAAAAUUACAUUUAUUUUGUUGUUUGAUUUUCACCCAGCUGGCUAAGCUAUCAAUUAUAAUAAUGUUAAGUAUUUUCUGAAAAAUCAGUUGAAUCAUACUAUAUAAAGAACUAAAAGGGUUCUGAAGAAAUAGGUACCUUUUCAAUGACACAUUUUCUUCAAACUUUUUUUAAUGUCACAUAUUAAAUAUCCAAGAUUUGUUUUCCUGUGGCUGAACAAUUAUGUCUCAGACUAAGAUAUUGUAGUCAUACAUCAGCUGUGGAUUUGAGAGAUCCUCCCAAGGGCCCCUUCAUUACAAGAGCCUGAAAUUGCACACAAAUACUUGACACACUCUUCAUUUUCUUGCAUAAUCAUAUUUCCCACCUCUUCCAUGGAAAACCAGAUUGCUUUUCCAAUUUUCAUAAUAUGAGAGUCUGUACAAAAAUCUAUCAAAACCAAAAGUCAUUUGGCAAUUCUAAGACAAUCUCGUGAUGGGUGACAAAACUUUUGUCUGCUAUCUAUUGGUGCCUUAUUGCACUAUUCCUAAAUUUUGAGAUAUUUGAUCUGCUUUGCUUAUGCACACCACGCUGGCUUAGUCAGAUUGCUGUUUUCUUUUAUCAAAUGAGUGGCGAAAUGUGCUAAAUGUGGUUCUUAUAAAUUUAAAAGCUUUUUAAAGCAUGCAUUAGAAUCUGUUUAUUGCUUUUCCCUGCCAUGUUGUUAUUGCUAUUUAACUUUGAAGUAUAUCUUGGAGGGCUAUUUAUUUACUCUGAUAUGUGAAUUAUGGAAACAGAGUCCUUAACUGGAGGCCACGUUUUCCAGAUAUAACUUCACAGCUUCCUUUCUUUUUUGGCAUGGUGGGCCUUAUCUAUUAUUUUUACAAAACCUUCCAAACUGAUCCUGGGUUCAUUACAAAUACAGAAGAAGAGAUUAAAAAGGUAUUUUCACACGUUCAAUAGUUCUUUUCAAGUAAUUACAAUAUAGCAAUUAAUAAUAAAAAACAAUAUUUCUCAGCAAAUUUGAACAUGUUUUUCUCAAAAUCCACCAAGUAUUGCUAAUGAGACAAAUUUGGAAAAGUGUUACAGGUAGUCCUCAACUUACAGCCACAAUUGAGCCCAAAAUUUCUGUUGUUAAAUGAAAGAUUUGUUAAGUGAGUUUUGCCCCAUUUUGCAACCUUUCUUGCUUAAGUCAAUCACUGCAAUUGAUAAAUUAGUAACCUAGUUAUUAAGUAGGUAAGGACUCCCCAUUGACUUUCUUGUGAGAAGGUUGCAAAAGUGAUCACAUGACUUUGGGACACUGCAACCAUCAUAAAUAUGAGUCAGUUGCAAAGCAUCUGAAUUUUGAUCACAUGAUCAUGGAAAAGCUGCAAAGGUUAUAACUCUGAAAAAUGGUCAUAAGCAGGGGUGGGAUUCAGUUUUUUAAACAACCAGUUCUGUGGGUGUGGCUUAGUUGGUAGGUGUGGCUUAGUUGGUGGGUGUGGCUUGGUGAUCAUGUGACUGGGUGGGCAUGGCCAACUCGACAUCACUCAUGCCAAGGGGUGCUUCUUGCCUGUCCUCUCAUGACAGUGGGGAUGCUGCAAAGGUCAUAAGUGUGAAAAAUGGUCAUAAGUCACUUUUU